CUAUUGGUUCCUGAGUGCCGAGGGCGGGGCGGAGAGGCUCGCGCUGCAGCAACCGAGGGAGAAAGUACGGCUUUAAACUAGUUUUACUCUAGAAAAAAGGAUUUUAGAUUGAAAAACGCUGCUUGUACUCGCUUAAAGAGUGUUAUAGACACUUUUAACGCCGCGUUUUGCCGAGAAUGUAUUUAUUUAUGAGGAGUUUCCUAAGUUUUAACAGUUUGGUAGGUAGCUAAGCUAGCAAGCUGAAGGUGCUUAGCAACCGCUAACCAGCUAGCUUGUUUGUUUGUUUGUUUGGGGAAGCCGGAGGAGCUCGGAGUGAAAAUUCAGCGUCAGCUACGAAGGAUUCUCUCUGAGCUUCAUUGACGCUGCUGCAGUCGGAGGGACCGGAGCUGAGAGCAGAACUUCGCCCUACUGAGCGGGAGAAGGUGGAGAAGGCGCCCUGUUGUGUAGCUGGAUCUGCGGUUAGCGGCGCCGCUGAGAGGGAUAACUUUACCAGACUUCAGAGCGGGGGAGUGAGGGAGGCUGAGGAGAAGUAGACAGAACCGACCCCAGCAGCGCGUUUAUUGGAGGUGCCGGUAAUGAGGGACAUGAGGGAAGGGGAGGAAGCCUAAUAACGAUUCAUCUCCUCUCAUCGCUUAGCCUGCACUGCACUUGACUUCUGACCACAAAGAACAGCAGAUUCAGAAGACACAAGAUGCUAAGAGAGCAAUUCCAGAUAGAGAGAAGAGAAGAGCAGUGAAGUCAGGUCCUGAAACACCAGCCAGUGUUCUCAAAAACAAAGGUGCCACAAAGGGUUUUCUGAACAACUUUCAGUUUUAUUUUUUAAUGGGAUGUGAGUGUGAAGAAUUUUUACCCUGGUAAAGAACCUUUAUGUAUAGUUAAGAGAAAAUUAAACAAUGUGACUCGUUCUUAAAGUUACUGUGUACCUUAUUUUAUUUUACUGUUAAAAGUUUCUCAUCUUCAAGUGCCUAACAACUUUCAGAAGAUCUGAUGGACCUGGUGGAGCAGUUCGAGCUCUAAUCAUGUGGAACAUCAUGCUUAUGCACUUUCUGAAACCUUGCUUUUUAAGUGUGGCCUAAAAAAAACUAAGUAAAGAAAAACGUUUUUUAAAA